AAAUUGAAGAGUUUGAUCAUGGCUCAGAUUGAACGCUGGCGGCAGGCCUAACACAUGCAAGUCGAACGGUAGCAGGAAGCAGCUUGCUGCUUUGCUGACGAGUGGCGGACGGGUGAGUAAUGUCUGGGAAACUGCCUGAUGGAGGGGGAUAACUACUGGAAACGGUGGCUAAUACCGCAUAAUGUCGCAAGACCAAAGAGGGGGACCUUCGGGCCUCUUGCCAUCAGAUGUGCCCAGAUGGGAUUAGCUUGUUGGUGAGGUAACGGCUCACCAAGGCGACGAUCCCUAGCUGGUCUGAGAGGAUGACCAGCCACACUGGAACUGAGACACGGUCCAGACUCCUACGGGAGGCAGCAGUGGGGAAUAUUGCACAAUGGGCGCAAGCCUGAUGCAGCCAUGCCGCGUGUAUGAAGAAGGCCUUCGGGUUGUAAAGUACUUUCAGCGGGGAGGAAGGUGUUGUGGUUAAUAACC
rnacentral:rRNA from 1 species